AGGUCAGGAAAUACACAACCAAUAUUGUAUUGUUUUAUGGCGGAACAGCACACUAGCUCAAACAAGUAUCGUCAAUACAUAUCCUUCUUUCAGUUUCACCUUCCUUCUUACCACAUUUGAGACAAAUCAAUGUUGUAAUUCCUCUUCAAUGCGGACUCGUUUACACAACGGUGAUUCAUCCCACCAGACAACAGGGAAAAACGACAAUGUAGCAUCUUGUCUGAUCAGUUGUUCUUGCACACGUUUUAAGUUUUACACUCGCUUUUGUCCCACCUUAAAAUUAGGAACUGUCGAGGCAGGCGUUGUUUCGAGAAACUUAUACAUUGAACGUAGUGGCGAUGUUACGGGUCCAACUUCGAAGUGGACUGAUCACGCAUGGGAGAGGGGAGUGACGUUCAGGUGACCAGCCAGGGGUCUUGAUGUCCAAAGAAGCUGCGGAGGACGACUUUUCGGUCAGGGUGGCGGCAUUACUGUCAACAUGGCGCAGGCUUCCCGGUUGGGCAGGGGAUGAAAGUGAAGGUAAGCCCCCCUCGUCCCCUCUGAUGUCAUGAUGUCACGUAGCGCAAGCGCGAGCUCGAGGAGAGCUACACGGCACUCUGGGCUACGUCAUUUAAAGAAUGGCCUCAUGCACCGGGAUGAUCUCUGGAACCAUUCUAAUAUCAUGGAUUGUUGUGGGAGGAGCUUUUCUCACAGGUCUGGCUAUGACAUUGGUCAGAGCUGGCU